rnacentral:lncRNA from 1 species
UAUAAGGAGCCCGUGCUCUUGUUCUGGAAGGUGACGGUGAUGUUACUGAAGGAUGAGAAACCACCUGAAACACUGAGCCUUCUCACAAUAUUACAUUUGAACUGAUAGUUCGGCAUUUAUUUUUAAAAUGUUUUGAUUAAAGGUCACUGGCUUUACCAAGCUAAGACUGAAAACUUCUGGAUAGACAGACAAAUUUGGCAAUAAUUCAAAUAAAGCCAAUGAGAGUAGGCAAGUUCACUGAAACUCUGUAGCGAGGACAAUUAGUUUCUUUAAAAAAGGAAAAAAAAAAAAAAAAGCCAGGCGGUGGUGGCUCACACCUUUAAUCCCAGCACAGAGAAACCCUGUCUCAAAAAAACAAAAACAAACAAACAAAAAAAGUUGAUAGGACUAAAGAGAUGGCUCAGAGGUUUAAAGCACUUGCUCUUACAGAGGACCAGGGUUUAGUUCCAACACCUUCAUCAUGGUUCAUAAACAUCAGUAGCACCAGUUCCAUGGGAUAUACAGACAUAUAUGCAGGCAAGACCCUUAUAAAUAAAUCUUUAGAGGAAUUGAAUAAAAUUUUAUAUAGUUAUAAACAUUUAUGAAAAUUCACUAUUUUAUUACAAUAAAAUAUUAAAUAUUCCCACUACUGAAAUUUUUUUUGUAAAAGUAUAUGUCAAGUGUAUCUUUUUUGGAAAAUCCCUACACUGUCAGUUGAGGGUCUAUGAGCAAAAUGUGUUAAACUUUUUAAGAAACUGAGGAAUUAAAGUCUAACUUUAAGUUCAGUUUAAAAGACUAUGAAAUUUACAUGGUUUUAAUUUUUCAAGUGAGAAGCCAAAUAAUGGAAAUUGGGGGGUGGGGUGCCAGUCUCCAGGUUCAAGAAACACUAAGACAAAGAUCUUCCUAAUUAAAGAGCUGUAAUGAAAGAAAUUUAGCCAGUUGUAGUGGCACACACUUGUAAUUCCAGCACUUGGGAGGCAGAGGCAGGCAGAUUUCUGUGAGUUCAAGGCCACUCUGGUCUGCAAGAAUUCCAGGCAACCAGGACUGUUACAAAGAGAAACUCUGUCUCAAAAAAACAAAUUAAAUGAACAGAAAUUUGGAAACCAGAAAGACAAUUGUCUAAAACUACAACUGUAGCAUUUCAAAGGAGAUUUAGCAAGAGAUUCCAGAAGAUGACCAAAAAUAAAUUUAAUUGACUCAUUCUUAAGUAUGUUUCUUCAAAAAUAAAUUGGGGAGAAAAAAAAAAAACCCACACAGAUUAUUGAAAUCAGGAUUUCAGGUUUUGUAACAGUUCAGUAGUUAAAAGCACUUGUGGGCUGGAGAGACACCUCGGCGCUGACUGCUCUUCCGAAUCCUGAGUUCAAAUCCCAGCAACCACAUGGUGGCUCUCAACCAUCUGUCAUGAGCUCUGACUCCCUCUUCUGGAGUGUCUGAAGACAACUACAGUGUACUUACAUAUAAUAAGUAAAUCUUUAAAAAUAAAUAAAUAAAUAAAAGGAGAGAGAGGAAAGAAAGAAAGAGAGAGAGAGGAAGGAAGGAAAGGAAGGAAGGAAAGGAAGGAAGGAAAGAAAGAAAGAG